GAUGAACGCUGGCGGCGUGCCUAAUGCAUGCAAGUCGAGCGAACGGACGAGAAGCUUGCUUUUCUGAUGUUAGCGGCGGACGGGUGAGUAACACGUGGAUAACCUACCUAUAAGACUGGGAUAACUUCGGGAAACCGGAGCUAAUACCGGAUAAUAUUUUGAACCGCAUGGUUCAAAAGUGAAAGACGGCCUUGCUGUCACUUAUAGAUGGAUCCGCGCUGCAUUAGCUAGUUGGUAAGGUAACGGCUUACCAAGGCAACGAUGCAUAGCCGACCUGAGAGGGUGAUCGGCCACACUGGAACUGAGACACGGUCCAGACUCCUACGGGAGGCAGCAGUAGGGAAUCUUCCGCAAUGGGCGAAAGCCUGACGGAGCAACGCCGCGUGAGUGAUGAAGGUCUUCGGAUCGUAAAACUCUGUUAUUAGGGAAGAACAUAUGUGUAAGUAACUGUGCACAUCUUGACGGUACCUAAUCAGAAAGCCACGGCUAACUACGUG
rnacentral:rRNA from 1 species